rnacentral:snoRNA from 1 species
UUCUAUGAUGAACAAGGGCCUAGGCCCGAUAUAAUCCCAGCUCGUCGAUGCUAUCCCACCAAAAACAACGCUCGGGAUAGCAGUGAGAUGAAGUCCAAUCUGAACAA